GCCACGGAGGUCUAGCGGUUAGAACGCUGGCCUUGUAAUCCUGGGGAUCUCGGGUUCGAUUCCCGGCGGUGCCC
rfam:Zootermopsis nevadensis contig22162, whole genome shotgun sequence.